rnacentral:rRNA from 1 species
UUGUACAAGGUGAGAGUGGCGGACGGGUGAGUAAGACGUUGGUGACCUGCCCUAAGGUGGGGGACAACCGUGGGAAACCACGGCUAAUACCCCAGAUGUCAAAAGGGUUAGAGGCUUUUGACUAAAGCUCCGGUGCCUUAGGAGGGGCCAGCGGGCUAUCAGCUAGUUGGUGGGGUAACGGCCUACCAAGGCUCAGACGGCUAGGGGGCGUGAGAGCGCGAUCCCCCACAAUGGAACUGAGACACGGUCCAUACUCCUACGGGAGGCAGCAGUGAGGAAUAUUGCACAAUGGGGGCAACCCUGAUGCAGCAACGCCGCGUGGACGAAGAAGGCCUUCGGGUUGUAAAGUCCUUUUCUAAGGGAAGAUAAUGACGGUACCUUAGGAAUAAGUCCCGGCUAACUACGUGCCAGCAGCCGCGGUAAAACGUAGGGGGCGAGCGUUAUCCGGAUUUAUUGGGCGUAAAGCGCGCGUAGGCGGCAUGUUAAGUUGGACGUGAAAGCUCCAGGCUCAACUGGGAGAGGACGUACAAAACUAACAAGCUUGAGGGUAGAAGAGGAGAGCAGAAUUCCCGGUGUAGUGGUGGAAUGCGUAGAUAUCGAGAGGAACACCAGUGGCGAAGGCGAGUCCCUGGACGAAUCCUGACACUGAGGCACGAAAGCUAGGGGAGCAAACAGGAUUAGAUACCCUGGUAGUCCUAGCUGUAAACGGUGCACAUUUGCUGUGAGCGG